CAUUAGAGAGUGCCCUACUCCCAAAACCCAUGUGAACUUACCUGUACGUUGCCUCGGCGGGGGAGGGGCUGGCCACCCCCCCUCCGCCAGGCGGCCCACCAAACCCUGUUUAGCCCUGAAUCUCUGAGACGAUAAAACAAUGAGUUAAAACUUUCAACAACGGAUCUCUUGGCUCUGGCAUCGAUGAAGAACGCAGCGAAAUGCGAUACGUAGUGUGAAUUGCAGAAUUUAGUGAAUCAUCGAAUCUUUGAACGCACAUUGCGCCCGCCAGUAUUCUGGCGGGCAUGCCUGUUCGAGCGUCAUUUCAACCCCUUAAGCCCUUGUCGCUUAGUGUUGGGAGCCGACGGCGUCCUGCCGUCGCUCCUCAAAUCCAGUGGCGGAGCCGGUUUCGCGCUCUGGGCGUAGUAGAUUUUCUCCAUCUCGCCUGCAGCCGGGGCCGGCCUCCCUGCCGUAAAACCACCACCAAUGUACCCAAAGGUUGACCUCGAAUCAGGUAGGAAUACCCGCUGAACUUAAGCAUAUCAAUAAGCGGAGGAAAAGAAACCAACAGGGAUUGCCCCAGUAACGGCGAGUGAAGCGGCAACAGCUCAAAUUUGAAAUCUGGCCCUCGGGUCCGAGUUGUAAUUUGUAGAGGAUGCUUUUGGCGCGGUGCCUUCCGAGUUCCCUGGAACGGGACGCCUUAGAGGGUGAGAGCCCCGUACGGUUGGACACCAAGCCUCUGUAAAGCGCCUUCGACGAGUCGAGUAGUUUGGGAAUGCUGCUCUAAAUGGGAGGUAAAUUUCUUCUAAAGCUAAAUAUUGGCCAGAGACCGAUAGCGCACAAGUAGAGUGAUCGAAAGAUGAAAAGCACUUUGAAAAGAGGGUUAAACAGCACGUGAAAUUGUUGAAAGGGAAGCGUUUGCGACCAGACCUCUCCCCGGCGGAUCAUCCGGCGUUCUCGCCGGUGCACUUCGCCGGGCUGAGGCCAGCAUCGGUUUCCGCGGGGGGACAAAAGCGGGGGGA
rnacentral:rRNA from 1 species